rnacentral:pre_miRNA from 1 species
AACCAGCGCAGACCGGCAUGGCCCAGGCAUCUCUGGGCGAGUAUCUCUUUGAGCGCCUCACCCUUAAGCAGGACUAGGCCU